AGAGUUUGAUCCUGGCUCAGGAUGAACGCUGGCGGCGUGCUUAACACAUGCAAGUCGAACGGUGAAGCCAAGCUUGCUUGGUGGAUCAGUGGCGAACGGGUGAGUAACACGUGAGCAACCUGCCCUGGACUCUGGGAUAAGCGCUGGAAACGGUGUCUAAUACUGGAUAUGAGGCGUGAUCGCAUGGUCAUGUUUGGAAAGAUUUUUCGGUCUGGGAUGGGCUCGCGGCCUAUCAGCUUGUUGGUGAGGUAAUGGCUCAUCAAGGCGUCGACGGGUAGCCGGCCUGAGAGGGUGACCGGCCNCACUGGGACUGAGACACGGNCCAGANUCCUACGGGAGGCAGCAGUGGGGAAUAUUGCACAAUGGGCGCAAGCCUGAUGCAGCAACGCCGCGUGAGGGAUGACGGCCUUCGGGUUGUAAACCUCUUUUAGCANGGAAGAAGCGUUAGUGACGGUACCGCAGAAGAAGCCGGGCUCAGAGG
rnacentral:rRNA from 1 species